GGCCCAAGGAGCCAGGAGGACGGCUUCGUGUGCCACCCUGUCUAGCUGGGUCAGCGGUCACCAACCAGGAGCUUCCGGUGGCCGGGGAGUGUGGGAUGGAAUGGAAUCUGUUCUCAGCUGUAACUCGCACCACAGGGGCCUGAAAUCUGACUUAGCACAGAAAGGAAGCCAAAGGUCAGCGUGUCCUUGGCACAGGGCACAGCCCCCAAACAGCUGUGUGGGGGAGACCACUGGACAGCAGUGUGACUCCCUCCUGACCUCGCUGCCUCCCUCACACAGGGAAAAGAGCAGACGCCACAGAAGCACUGAGGGCGCUGAAGGUAUUGGCCUGGGUUGACUUUUUGCCUGUGCUAUUGAGGUCCCACGGGCAGAUGGAGUGCACAUCCCCAUGGUUUGGAGCCUCCUCCUAGGGAUCCUCAGGGAAGCCUAAGAAACGGGAGGAAAGGCCCCGCCACGGCGUAUCCAUGAGCCUAGUGGAGGAAAAGGGCCCAAAGGAGCCUCGGGACCACCGACAGCAGGAAGCCGCUUAACGCUGACGGCAUUGUAUAAUGAGAAGCAGACAGACAGUCAGACUCAAUGCCUGUCCUCCAGCCCCGGGACUGCAACGUGGAGGAAAAACGAUUAAGGCACAGUGUUUUGCUUUUUUUGUAUAUGCUGGGUUGUCCAACCCUCUCCUGGGAUGAAAUUUGUGUGUCAAUUAAAUGCACAAAUAACAUUCCUAAAGUCUGUGUCACAAUAUGAAUAUAAGAGUCACAAACUACAAAAAAAUAAAAGAAAAGGAUAUGUAUGGAAAUACAUUUUAGUAUGGAAAAUUGGAAGGUAAAAAAAAUGUUUCUGGAUGAGAAAAUAUUUUGGCUGGUUAAGUAAUAUUCUAAAGUCCAAGAAGAAAGGGGACGAAACUUACAUGUAAAUUGUGAAUGUCUAAGUCGCAGAAUGUUUGUGGAAGGUAAAGCUCAAAAAGUGUGUUUGUGAUUAAAUUGGCUAUAAGUGACACAGUCAAAGUUAUUUGAAUUUGAAUGUACUGAUAUAAAAAUCUGAAACACAGAUCUAUUCUUAUUAUCACCAUAAUUUAAUUGUGUUUGUGAGGUUUUAUUAUUUGUGGAAACUCAGUCUUAAAGGAAUUAGGGUUUGUACCUGUUGUACAGCCUUAAAUGAUCACUUUGUAACUGGUCAAGGAAACAAUUGUUAUUUAAGUUAUAACAAUAUUGUUGACACUCAAAAUAUAUGUGACUAGGUGUAUGUAGGCAUCUGAGAACAAUACCUGUCUAAGCCCUGUCUACUUGUUAUGUAAAAGUUUAUAAAAUGAAAGCUUAUGUAAGUUUGCCAGCAAGAUAAGCAAUAAGUGCUCCCUUCUAUACAUUAUGCUCUCUUUUUUGACAUAGAAGGGCCACACUGUCAUUCGAAGUCCUGUCUUAUAUCUGUUUGCUUUAACUAAGCCAACUUCUGGUCAUUAACACUGUUUCCUAAAUGUGGUAGAGAUUUAAGGCUACUCUUGGAUUUUUGUUAACCCGUGCAAACCUGUGAUUAUUGUUACUGUACACUCAGGAUUGUAAAUUGGACUUUAAAAGUUAAACUUAGUUAAAUGUAAAGCUUAGGAGGGCUCUUUAACAAGUUGGUGUUCUCCAAACUAAAACUGGGUGUAGCAAGUGUCUCGGGUUUAUAGAAAAAUGACAAUUUUGAUUGGUAUUUAUUCAUGUCAUUUGAUGUUUUAUAGCUGGAUAAAGUAAACUGCUGUCAACUUUGCGUUACUCUUCACCCUGAAAUUGAAUUUUAAAUGCAUUUUUGGAAGACAAUAAGGAGAGCCUGUUCUGUUCAAAGGAGACACUGUAAAACAUGGAAGCAUUCUGGCACUUUGUCCACAAAAGGAAAGUUACAAGCUCUCUUAGCCUCUCUUUGAUUCAUGUUUCAGGUGUAAUGUUGUAUUGUGUUAUUUGUGAAGAGCCCACCUUACCUGAGAUAAGGCUCUGCUUCCCACCUUACACCAUUUUAAAAAUGGCUCCAAAAAUGUCUAGACUUCAGCCCAUUUAAAGUUGUAUUCAGAAGUUGAUUUUUGUUGUAAAGAUUGCUGUGCUUUCAGACAGGGAAUAUAAUAUGUAACUAAGUAAAGGUUCAAGAUUAUAAAAGCCAUUUUUUUUUGGUUCAUAGUUAUUACACAAACUGAAUAUGUUUUUGCUCUGUUAAUUCAUUUUGUAUUUUCCUUGUAAACUUUGUAACUGUUGCCUUUUAGUGUUUUGCAGAGGUACUGCUCAUUGAAAAUAAACAAACAAACAAACAA